GCUGUUUCUCGGUAGGAGCCAGAAUACCUGUUUCAACAACAGGCUUGUUCCACUCCUCCACCAGGCUUUGUGUAAAGGAGUGCCUCCCGUUCUCGGUUUGAAAUGCUCUUCCCUGUAGCUUCUUCUGGUUUGCGUUUUCCCUGUUGGUUCUGAAAAAGCCCGCUGGGUCAGACAGAUCCCUUUUUGGGGUCAGGGAACCCGCCGUGCACCCUGGACGUGAUGUCGUUGUUCACCGGGAAAGCUCUGGUGUCUGGUUCCUGGGUCCGGACUGAUCGCUUUUUCUUUUUCCCCUCAGUCAACAAGCGCCUGGACGAGUGGGUGACGCCCGACAGGCUGGACCUGAAGAAGCUCCAGUUCCCCAAAAAGGAGGCCAAGACGCCCACCAAGAACGGCCUGCCGGGCUCGCGGCCCAGCUCCCCGGAGAGAGACGUGGUAAGAGCUCACGGCUCCGAGCUGCUGGAGAGCGACUGACCCCCCCCCCCCAACGCCGCCGUUCUUUCUGAGCCUGAAGCUCGGCGCCAGUGAGCCUCAGACCGGACAGCCCCCGAGGACCACCGGUUCAGCACGGCUCCCUCUCGCUCCCAGGACCAGGCUGGGCUCGGCCUCUGGAAAUCGUCUCCAAUGCUGCCUUUUUCUCUAGCCUCCCCGGGAAGAAGGAACUGUCGGGAUGGCUCCCGAAGUGACGCCGGGCUGUCCCAUGCUCUUUCCUGUUCCUGCAGACCUGUGCUGGUGCUGAUCUUCUAGAUGUUGUGCAUGUCGGUCUUCUGCUUGAUUAUUACAGCGUUGUGAACCCUCUUUUUUUACUGCAUUUUUAUGACUGCACAAAACCAGCCGUGCACCGGGGUGUGGCUGAGCUCACCUGGGUCCGGCCUCCGGGCCGCGGACCCGGCGCCGCUGAGCUCACCUGGGUCAGUGCAGCCGCAGAAAUGCAGUAAGGACCACAGGCGCGCAGAGAAGGAGGUUGAACUGUCUUUCGCUGUCAAUAACACCCUUUUCUAUUCAAAUUCAGAGGAAGAGUCUAGAUCACAGCCUCCAAACGGUCACAGCUCCAUCCAGAGGCAAAACUGUCCCCAUUCCGAAGAGGAAGGUGGAGUCGGUCCCCCUGGCGACGCAGGUGUCGCCGGCCACGCCCGUGCCCUCCCUGCCCAGCUCGGCGGAAACCACCCAGGCCUC
rnacentral:lncRNA from 1 species